rnacentral:rRNA from 1 species
GAUGAACGCUGGCGGCGUGCCUAAUACAUGCAAGUCGAGCGAACAGACGAGGAGCUUGCUCCUCUGACGUUAGCGGCGGACGGGUGAGUAACACGUGGAUAACCUACCUAUAAGACUGGGAUAACUUCGGGAAACCGGAGCUAAUACCGGAUAAUAUAUUGAACCGCAUGGUUCAAUAGUGAAAGACGGUUUUGCUGUCACUUAUAGAUGUAUCCGCGCUGCAUUAGCUAGUUGGUAAGGUAACGGCUUACCAAGGCAACGAUGCGUAGCCGACCUGAGAGGGUGAUCGGCCACACUAGAACUGAGACACGGUCAAGAAUCCUACGGGAGGCAGCAGUAGGGAAUCUUCCGCAAUGGGCGAAAGCCUGAAGGAGCAACGCCGCGUGAGUGAUGAAGGUCUUCGGAUCGUAAAACUCUGUUAUUAGGGAAGAACAAAUGUGUAAGUAACUAUGCACGUCUUGACGGUACCUAAUCAGAAAGCCACGGCUAACUACGUG